GAGGGCAUAGCUCAAGUGGUAGAGCUCAUGCUUAGCAUGCACGAGGUCCUGGGUUCAAUCCCCAGUUCCUCCU
rnacentral:tRNA from 1 species